AAUUGGAGAAUGAUAAAUCAGGUUUUUCCUCCUGAUUUUCUUUUUCUUUUUUCAAAAAAAAAAUUAAAUCCAACUGAAAAUGCUAAAACUCAGGAGAAAAAUUUUGAUUUGUCAUUUUCUUGUU
rnacentral:pre_miRNA from 1 species